UCCUUCCGCCUCCGCCAGCGCCGAGGAAUGUGGCGAGGCCGGCUGGGCGGCUCGAACGCCUGGGUCCCCCUCCGCUCUCAGUUCGCAAGCGCGGAGGCCAGAUGCGAGAGCUCCCGCUGCGGAGACCUGGACGAGGGGGAGAAGUCAUCCCAGGAUUGGGGUCUGUGGCGGGGACCCCACGGAGAGGGAGGGUCCCCUGGAAGUGACGCUGACUCAGCCAGUGAGGAGCGGGCCUGUCUCCAACAGGCUGCAGAGCUGGGAGGAGACUUGGAGCCUCAUCCCGGAGAAAGGGCUGCCGGAGGAUGACCCGGACACCGUUGUGAAAGGUUGGCUGUACCGGGAGCCCCGCGGAGGAGGGGCGCGGCCCUGGCUGCCCCCGCGCCGAGCCUGGUUUGUGCUCACGCGGGACUCCCUGGAUCAGUUCAGCAGCAGCGGGAAAGGGGCGCGGCGUCUCGGGAGCCUCGUGCUCACCAGCCUGUGCUCGGUGACCGGCCCAGAGCGCAGGCGUAAGGAGACAGGUCUGUGGUCAGUGACUGUGUCUGGUCGGAAACACAGUGUCCGCCUCUGCUCCCCACGCCAGGCAGAGGCUGAGCGCUGGGGGGUGGCAUUGCGGGAAGUGAUCGCCUCCAAGGCACCCCUGGAGACCCCCACCCAGCUACUGCUCAGGGACAUACAGGAAAGUUGCGGGGACCCAGAGGCCGUUGCCCUCAUUUACCUGAGGAACCCGAUUCUGAGACACACUAGUGGAGCCUUGUACGCCCCGCUCCUGCCCCUGCCCUAUGGAGUCAGUGCCCCAGGUCCCCCCGGGCUCCCGGCUACCCAAGACCCUGCGGCCCUGCGGUACUGGCAACUCCUCACCUGCAUGAGCUGCACCUUCCGACCUGGGGGAGCUGUGCGGGGGCACCUCCUGGGGCACUUGGAGAGGACCGAGCAGGCACUCCCGGACUCGGAACUGGCGGAAUAUGCGCGCUUCAUCCGGAAAGCACUGGGCCGGACGCGCGGCAGAGAGCUGGUGCCCUCGCUGGCGGAGAUUUCCGCGUUGAGCCAACGGCAGGAGCUGCUGUGUACCGUGCACUGUCCGGGGGCUGGUGCCUGUGCUGUGGCCAUCGACUCCCACACCACGGCGGGGGAGGUGGCUCGAGAGCUGGUGGGGCGGCUGGGCUUGGCGCGGAGCCGCAACGCAUUCGCGCUGUACGAGCAGCGAGGGGCCCAGGAGCGAGCCCUGGCUGGGGGGACCCUCGUGGCCGACGUGCUCACCAGCUUGGCGGCGGAGGAAGCUGGGUUGGAGGACUCGCCCGACUCCGGGUGGAGACUAUGUCUGCGUCUUCACGGACCUCUGCACCCUGAGGGGCUGUCCCCAGACGGUCACGAACUGCCUUUCCUCUUUGAGCAGGCUCACGCUCUGCUGCUGCGGGGCCGGCCGCCCCCACCCGACGACACGCUGCGCGCCCUGGCGGCGCUGCGCCUGCAGAGCCUGCACCGGGACUUCUCUCCGCGGGUGCCCCUGCCCCGCCUGGACCGCCUGCUCCCGCCCCCGGCCCCGCCGCGCGAAGACCCGCCCCGCCCGACCCCCAGGCCGCCCCCUUCCGCUGCCCUGCUGGCCGGGGCGCUCUGGACCCCGGGCCUGGCCAAGAGGCGGGCGGAGCGGGCCCGGCGCGGCGGGGCCGGCCGCACUGCGGGAAGCAUUGCCCGCGAGGGAGGAGGCGGCGCCGGCACGGCAGCUGCCGUGCUGGGCGGCUGGAAGCGGCUACGGGGCAUGGGCCGAGCUGAGGCCAUGGCCACCUACCUGGCCCUGGCGGCGCAGUGUCCGGGGUUCGGCGCUGCUCGGAGCCUGGUGGGGGUGCUCCACAGAAGCUGUGCCUGGGCUUGGGAGCCAAGGCCAUGUCCCUCUCCCGGCCAGGGGAGACAGAGCCCAUCCACAGUGUCAGCUAUGGCCAUGUGGCCGCCUGCCAGCUAAUGGGCCCCCACACCCUGGCCUUGAGGGUGGGAGAGAGCCAGCUUCUCCUGCAGAGCCCCCAGGUGGAAGAGAUCAUGCAGCUGGUGAAUGCCUACUUGGCCAACCCCUCCCCCGAGAGGCCCUGCAGCAGCUCUUCUCCUCCAUGCCAAGACCUGCCAGACACCUCCCCUCCCAGCCAGCGCCCGGGCCUGGACGAGCCCCAGGGACAGUCUGGCUGCUUGGGGCAGCUGCAGGACUGAGCCUGCCAAGAGGUCACAACUUCCCUCCUGCCUGCAGCCUGGGCCAGGACUGCUCUGAGAUUUGAGGGAAACAUGGACCCUUUUGGCCCUGCAGGGACAGGGCACAUCCCACACCCAAGGGCUACAAUGGGUGUGGGCAAUUUUCUAGUUUGUUUCUUAAUUUAUUUGUAGAAGAGAAGCAAAAAAAAAAAAAGUUUCUUAUUUACAC
rnacentral:sRNA from 1 species